rnacentral:rRNA from 1 species
AGAGUUUGAUCCUGGCUCAGGACGAACGCUGGCGGCGUGCUUAACACAUGCAAGUCGAACGGAGAACUUAUUUCGGUAAGUUCUUAGUGGCGAACGGGUGAGUAACGCGUAGGCAACCUGCCCUCCAGUUGGGGACAACAUUCCGAAAGGGAUGCUAAUACCGAAUACGAUGGAUUUUCCGCAUGGGAUUUCCAUGAAAGGCGCUUUCGGGCGUCGCUGGAAGAUGGGCCUGCGUCUGAUUAGCUUGUUGGUGAGGUAACGGCCCACCAAGGCGAUGAUCAGUAGCCGGUCUGAGAGGAUGAACGGCCACAUUGGGACUGAGACACGGCCCAAACUCCUACGGGAGGCAGCAGUGGGGAAUCUUCCGCAAUGGACGAAAGUCUGACGGAGCAACGCCGCGUGAGUGAUGAAGGUCUUCGGAUUGUAAAACUCUGUUGUCAGGGACGAAUGUGAGGAUUAGGAAAUGAAUUCUUAUUGACGGUACCUGACGAGGAAGCCACGGCUAACUACGUGCCAGCAGCCGCGGUAAUACGUAGGUGGCAAGCGUUGUCCGGAAUUAUUGGGCGUAAAGAGCAUGUAGGCGGGCUUUUAAGUCCGACGUGAAAAUGCGGGGCUUAACCCCGUAUUGCGUUGGAUACUGAAGGUCUUGAGUGCAGGAGAGGAAAGGGGAAUUCCCAGUGUAGCGGUGAAAUGCGUAGAUAUUGGGAGGAACACCAGUGGCGAAGGCGCCUUUCUGGACUGUGUCUGACGCUGAGAUGCGAAAGCCAGGGUAGCAAACGGGAUUAGAUACCCCGGUAGUCCUGGCCGUAAACGAU